UGUUAUUACAUUUUCUAGACAAAUCUAUUUGGUUGUAAAAGGAUCAGUCACUUUUCCUUACAAUUUUAAAUGGUCCCUAAUAAAUCCAAAUCAUAUCUCUACAAUUUUAGUUGGUCCCUAAUAAACCCAAAUAAUAUAUUAUUAUGUUUUAUAUAUUAAUUUUUGAACUCAUAGUCGGGAACAAAAAGAAAAAAAAAAAAGUUUCAUCACUCACUCUCUCUCCCUCUCCCUCUCUCUGAAAUUUCUAAUUUCUUUUCAUUCAUCUCUUCUCUAUGGAUUUGAUAUAUGAAUUCAAUGGUUCUUCUCACGAUCUCGUUGAUUGCUUCUGAUCUGUGGUUCAUCAUUGCAUCUCUGUCUAGAGCUGGAUCGCUCCGUUGCCGCCUCAUCUCUCCUCGAUUCUCCGAUUUCCCGGCAAAUCUCUGAUAGCGAUUCCGAUCAGGUACCAUAUAUUAUCAACUUAUUUGAUAAUCGACUAUCAUAUUUAUGAAUCGCCUAUCAUGUAUAUUAUAAUCGACUUGUGAAUGGGAGUUAGAAAAUGAAAAUGAAUAUGAUAAUCGACUAUCAUGUAUGUAUCUGUAUAAUCGAUUUGAUGUAGCAGAAGCCUCUUGGAUGCUUUUAACAUUCUGAGAUUUGAGUGGAAAGUAUCUUGGGGUUUCUAUUUGCAAAUUUAGAUUCUCUCCAUUACAUGGUUUGUUGGAAUUGAAGUGAAUGGAGAUCUCUCUAUUUCAAUGCAUGACAUAUGGAUGUAAAAUUUGAAGUCAAUUGUUUAUAAUUGUUUUUUUUAUCCUGCUCGAAUUUGCUUCGGAAUGUCAUAAUCUCUGCAAAUCAAGUGCCAAGAAGAUACAUUAACAGCUGAAAAGAACAAUAAACAAAGAUAUAUAACAGUGCAUUUGCCUUGGGUUAUAUACUCGCCAAUAACUUGACAAUGAUAGUUUUGGAGUGACAAAUAAAUAAGUAAAAAUAUAAUUCAAUGUUUAGCAAUUUUCUAUUGAAAAAGAUAGAAUCAGAUUACAGCAAGGACACACGAUAAUGUAAGUUAAUAACUUUACAAUGAGUUACUUCAAACUUUUUAGAAAUCAUAUAAGUUUUACAUAGAUGUACAACCAUAGAGUCCUACAGAAGUGUCAAUUCAUCGGCAAAGCAUUGCAAAGAACUCAACAUUUCCUGCUGUCUAAGGUCCAGAGGUCAAAUGUACUUGAAGACUAGCUGAGGACUGUGUUUAUAAUCAAAUUCCAAGCAUUCUCAUCACUGCCAAAGGAUAUCUAGAUUUUGCCACAAGGUAAGAUUUUCACAAGAAAAAAUAAAUGUGUUGAGGAGGAAGGAGGAAUUGAGCUUCCCAGCUUAUUUUUUUUGCUCUGUUCUAUGGCUAUUCAUUGUUUGUAAUGCUUUGCCUGCAUCAGUGACCUUGAUGAAAUGUGAAUUCACAAAAAAAGGUCUAAAACUAGGUACUUAAGAAAGACAUUUCAUUUUGUCAUUGAGGAAGGUACUGUAAGGCUUAAAAAUCUGAUGCUGCUAUGGAUUUCUUACAUUGGUUUUUUGUUUUUUUUCUUAAUUUCAUCUACACAACCUUCGUAGCAGACUAUGUGCAAGAGCAAGAGAUGGAAGUUGAAGAAUUGGAAAGCCAUACUUAUGAAUGAUUUUAAAGGUUCUUACUUUAUAAUAUUGCAUUUUGCCCCUUGGACAUAUGUUGUUGAACACCAAAAAUCCCCCCAUUUUCCUUUGAUAAAUUCCCGACAAUUAACAAGGUGCUGUUUUUCUUUGCUUUUGUAAUGCCACACUUGUAAUCGGUGCUUCCAAGUUAUGCUAUCUCCACAGGUAUAUACUGUAAGUGCCAUUGGCCUCUUGGUAGAUUGCCAAAUAAUGCUAUCUUCAUCUAGUCAAGCUAGGCCAUUGUUAUAAGCUUAAUAAUAAACGACGACACAAGGAGUUGAAAUUAUAGGUUUCGUUAUUGAGAUAUCUAUGUCAGAGAGGGUAGUCUUGCAUACGAUUUGACAUAAUCAAGAAGACAGUCCACUUUUGUCUAUUGUCCUCCACUAUUUUACAUUUUGGUCAGUAGGAGCAGACCAACUUCUUCUUUGUUACACCUCUAGCUUUUGAUGAAUUUGCUCGGCUUGAUCAACACUUUCUAAACAUUGGAAUGACACAAGUGGUUUUCCACUUGCCUUUUUCAAUUGCAAAUUUAAUUUUUGGGUAAGAAAGAAAUAAUUGUUCAUUGCCAUUAUUUUUACUGCUUUUUUGGAUAAGUUGUUACAAAUGGCGAUUUGAGAAGCAUCCAACACUGACCUCUAAUAUACUGUAUGCCUCUUUUGAUCUUUACUUAAUGGAAAAUUGUAUUAGUCCCAACAGCUAAAUUCUGUAGUACUAUUUUUUUUAAGAACUAUCAUGCUGCUACUGCAUUGUGCCUAUCCCAUUAUCUUCGUAUUUGUCAGUUCAAAAGGGAUUCAAGCAGCAGAUCUCAAGAUUUUGAGAGAAAGGCUAGAGCAAGAGGUAGUUUUUAAAGCACUUAGUGCUUUAAUUUGAAAUUUUCCAUUUCAUUUGUUUAAAUAUCUAGUUCAAGCACAUUCCUUUUGCAACUUAACAAUUCGAGAUCAUUGGCAUGCAAUAAUUUUUAAUUAAAUUUUCUUGAUAUGGCACCAAAUGGAAUGGACAAAAGUAUGACCUCUUUGAAAUCUUAACUACUGAAACGACACAUAGAAUUGUUAGUGAUCAAGGGGCGUAAAUAGUAGAAAAUGCUCAAUUGUCCUGUUGUUUGUGUAUAUAUUGUACUCUAUACCUACGUUUAUAGGAUUAAAUCUUUCUGCACCCGAGAAAAAGAAGAUCACAGGAAGAGUUUCUGUGGUACUUAAAUCUUUUCAAUAUUUUCUUCCCUUAGUAGCGUAAAUGAAUCUGAUUUAUAUCAAAAGAAAAACAGUGAGUUUGAAGGGGUGAUGGGAUAUUUUGGUUUUUGGUAGGAAGAGUGGCUAAAUGAUUAAUUGUUAGUAAUUGCUUUUUUGUGCUUAACACAGGGUUCGAUUUUAGUUUAAUCUUUGUUAACUCUUGAAUUGGUAAUUUAUUUAAGAGUUUGGCCUAUUCUAUGCAGGUUAUAAAAGCUUGCAGCGAUUUGAAGUUUGGGAGCUCUCUGCUAGAUUUUGAAUGUUAUUUCAACGAAGCCUUUAAGAAGAAGAUGUGAUGAGUUGAGUUGUUUUGUUAUGUAAUUUGAUAUAACUCCAAUUACAAUAUGUUCAUUGAAUACUUGAAUGCUAAAAACAAUGCUUAUGACACUAACCUUAUAAAUUGGAAAUGAUACUUUUGAAAUC